rnacentral:rRNA from 1 species
CCCGUCACACCAUGGGAGUGGAUUGCACCAGAAGUGGAUGAGCCAACCCGCAAGGGAGGCAGUCCCCUAAGGUGUGCUUCAUGACUGGGGUG